rnacentral:piRNA from 1 species
UAAAGCGGCUCUGGAGUCAAAAUAAUGGG